rnacentral:rRNA from 1 species
ACUCAAAUGAAUUGACGGGGGCCCGCACAAGCAGCGGAGCAUGUGGUUUAAUUCGACGCAACGCGAAGAACCUUACCUGGGCUUGACAUGUUGGUGACCGCCGUGGAAACACGGUUUUCCUUCGGGACACCAUCACAGGUGGUGCAUGGCUGUCGUCAGCUCGUGUCGUGAGAUGUUGGGUUAAGUCCCGCAACGAGCGCAACCCCCGUUCCAUGUUGCCAGCAUUCAGUUGGGGACUCAUGGGAGACUGCCGGUGACAAACCGGAGGAAGGUGGGGAUGACGUCAAGUCAUCAUGCCCCUUAUGUCCAGGGCUACACACGUGCUACAUUGGCGCAUACAAAGGGCAGCAAUACCGCGAGGUGGAGCAAAUCCCAUAAAGUGCGUCUCGGUUCGGAUUGGAGGCUGAAACUCGCCUCCAUGAAGGUGGAGUUGCUAGUAAUCGCGGAUCAGCAAUGCCGCGGUGAAUACGUUCCCGGGCCUUGUACACACCGCCCGU